rnacentral:tRNA from 1 species
GGGGAUGUAGCUCAGCUGGUUAGAGCAUCGGAAUCAUAAUCCGAGUGUCAGGGGUUCGAGUCCCUUCAUCCCUACCA